UACAGAAAGUGCGAACGUUGCUCAGAAUUACUGGGCGUAAAGCGCGUGUAGGCGGAGCGCUAAGUCGAGCGUGAAAUCCCCAGGCUCAACCUGGGAACUGCGCUCGAAACUGACGUUCUCGAGUAUCGGAGAGAGUGGCGGAAUUCCUGGAGUAGAGGUGAAAUUCAUAGAUAUCAGGAGGAACACCGAUGGCGAAGGCGGCCACCUGGACGAUUACUGACGCUGAGACGCGAAAGCGUGGGGAACAAACAGG
rnacentral:rRNA from 1 species